rnacentral:rRNA from 1 species
UACGAAGGGGGCUAGCGUUGCUCGGAAUCACUGGGCGUAAAGCGCACGUAGGCGGAUUGUUAAGUCAGGGGUGAAAUCCCGGAGCUCAACUCCGGAACUGCCUUUGAAACUGCAGUGCUAGAAUUCUGGAGAGGCGAGUGGAAUUCCGAGUGUAGAGGUGAAAUUCGUAGAUAUUCGGAAGAACACCAGUGGCGAAGGCGACUCGCUGGACAGACAUUGACGCUGAGGUGCGAAAGCGUGGGGAGCAAACAGG